ACGGGUGAGUAAUAUAUCGGAACGUACCCAAGAGUGGGGGAUAACGUAGCGAAAGUUACGCUAAUACCGCAUACGAUCCAAGGAUGAAAGCAGGGGACCGCAAGGCCUUGUGCUCCUGGAGCGGCCGAUAUCUGAUUAGCUAGUUGGUGAGGUAAAGGCUCACCAAGGCAACGAUCAGUAGCUGGUCUGAGAGGACGACCAGCCACACUGGAACUGAGACACGGUCCAGACUCCUACGGGAGGCAGCAGUGGGGAAUUUUGGACAAUGGGGGCAACCCUGAUCCAGCAAUGCCGCGUGAGUGAAGAAGGCCUUCGGGUUGUAAAGCUCUUUUGUCAGGGAAGAAAAGGGUCUGGCUAAUAUCCAGAUCUGCUGACGGUACCUGAAGAAUAAGCACCGGCUAACUACGUGCCAGCAGCCGCGGUAAUACGUAGGGUGCAAGCGUUAAUCGGAAUUACUGGGCGUAAAGCGUGCGCAGGCGGUUUCGUAAGUCUGUCGUGAAAUCCCCGGGCUUAACCUGGGAAUGGCGAUGGAGACUGCGAGGCUAGAGUUUGGCAGAGGGGGGUAGAAUUCCACGUGUAGCAGUGA
rnacentral:rRNA from 1 species